AUGGCUCACGGCGACCAUCAGGAUGAUGAUGAUGAAUUCAUGGAGUUACCGCAACAGAAUCGCGCAACUGGUCGUACAAAAGAUGGCGAUGAGAAGAAGAAACGUUAUCGCAAUAGGGCUUCGCAAGAACGCCUGACUAUAUUGACCGAUGGAUUUACUGAUGGGCAAAAGGGAGCUACUGGUGAGAUGGGGAUGCAGGCUUUGAUGGAUGUUCGGUGCAAGAACCUAGUGAACCCUGUAUGCGACUGGCUCGGUGAGAUUGAUGAUCCUGCCUCCAGAGAAUUUGUGAUACCGCGACGUGGAAGACUGCCUUUGGAUGAGGAGUCCGUGUUCUGCACUUUGGAUCCUAUAGAAGACUUCCCCACUUUGGGUGUGCCCCGUGGAGAAAUCAAAGUCCCGUAUGAGGUGAAUAAUAAUAUCAAGGAAGCCUUGUUCGCCCGUUUGUUUCCUGGGAUGGCAUCCAUGCCGAAUACAACUGUGCUGGCAACUUCGCUGGAGGGCAUGAAAACCCAUGGCGAGGUUUUUAAGAUGAAGCUCCUCAUGUACCUGAUCUCAGCAGUUUUUGCACCUACCACAUCUCUUCACCCAAGCAACAAGUGCUUCCCCUUCUUGGUGAAUGCUCUAUCUCUACUCCUUUCUUCCUUCAAUAUUUUGAUUUUGAUGUCACCUGGAAGCUAG
rnacentral:rRNA from 1 species